rnacentral:rRNA from 1 species
CGUAGGUCAGUAUGCCCCGAAUAUCCCGGGCUACACGCGAGCUACAAUGGUUGGUACAAUGGGUAUCUACCCCGAAAGGGGACGGGAAUCUCCUAAAACCAAUCUUAGUUCGGAUUGAGGGCUGCAACUCGCCCUCAUGAAGCUGGAAUCCGUAGUAAUCGCGUUUCAACAGAACGCGGUGAAUACGUCCCUGCUCCUU